GCAGUGAGGAAGGCGUGCUGGGACAGGAGGGCGGUCUGGGAGGGCUCCGCACAUCGUCCCCCUAGCCACCCGCUCGCGUUUCAGGAACUCAGAAAGCCAUGCUGUGACCAUGAGGAGACUAGCCUGAGAAUAAAAUUCACCGAGAGGCAGAAUGGAAAGACAGAAGAAAUCUGGGCCCAUCCGAUGUCAUUAAACUGCUCAGUUAACCAACCCUGGAACUGCCCCGCCUCUGGACUUAUUUUUAAGGACAAGAUCCCGGUCCAGCCUCCUGACUGCAUGGAGAUCCCUCUUCUUCCUGAAAGGCAGUGGAUGUACCUGAAAGGAGCCUCCACAGACGUUCCCAAGGAGACCCGGGUUUUAAGCCCAGAUCUGUCUGCACUUGCUGUUUGGGUCAUGCCAUGCACUUCACUUUAGUCAUCUGUAAAAUGGGUAUUAUUGUUCUGUUAGCAGUGGAAUACAUCAGAGACCUGGCACCAAAAUAUCUUAGCCGCAGUGAAUCCUUACGGAUCUGCAGCAACCUCAAUUCUUGCCUCCUCAGAAGAAAGAAUUCAACUGAGGGGCAUAAGGCAGAUGGAGAGACUGAGGCAACUUUUAGAGUAGGAGUGAAAGUUUAUUAAAAAGUUUUAGAGCCAGAACAAAAGGAAGUAAAGCACAUUUGGAAGAGGGCCAAGCUGGUGACUUGAGAGAUCAAGUGUGCAGUUUUGACCUUUGAUUUGGGGUUUUAUACACUGGCAUACCUCCAAGAUCCCACAUCCCUUCUCCCCCGAAUCUGCCCUUGGGGUGUGCUGUCUGCAAGCACUGUGGCCUGCUAGCGCUUGGGAGCGGAGCAUGAGCAGUGUGUUUACUGGAGUUGUGCACAUGCUCACUUGAGGCCUUCUCCUCUCACCAGUCAUAACCAGCUAAAUGCCGCCAUUCUGCUCUUAGUGUGCAUUCUUGAGCCCACUCGUCCAACUUCUGAGAUCUUAUCAGGAAGCAGCUGAUUACUAGUUUCAGGUGUUUCUGUCUAAUGGGAGAUUGCCUUUCCCUGGCCCUGGCUGUAACCAAUUAUUAUUUUAGAGAGAUAGUUUAUUAUUAUAAUAACUAUCUGACCAUCACCUGGUGGUUGCCUGACAUUGCUGGUGGGUAGGGGUCUCUCCUGCCCUACCCAUGUCUGCCUGAUGACCUACUGAACAGCUCUGCUGCAACUGCUUACCAGAACUUCCCUGAGACUCCUGAGAGGCCAAGAAUAGGACAUCUUCAUUGUCCAGCAUCAGAUGUCGUGUGUGUAUCCUUGGGUGGACAGUUGUUGGCACCCACUACCAAGGAGGCACUCAGGUUGUUUCUUUGUUUCUUCUUAGAGACAGGGCCUUUGCUCAUUUGCCCAGGCUGAAGGAAAGUGGUGUGAUUACAGCUCAAUGCAGCCUCAAACUCCUAGCCUCAAGUGAACCUCCUGUCUUAGCCUCCCAUUCAGCUAGGUUGACAGGUGCAUGCCACCAAGCCUAGCUAAUUAAGAAAAGAAAUUGUAGAGGUAGAGCCUCAACUCUGUUUUUUUGUUUUGUUUUGUUUUUUAAUUUGGAUAUUUUCACAGCUAGGGCCUUACUGACCCUGGAGGACUACUUCCCCGAUUUGCCCCCAGGGUUGACCAAUACACAGAGAUAGUAAAUGACCCAUUGCAGGGUGCACCUUUCAUAGGCAGGCCAACAGAUGCAGAGCUCACACACCAACACCUCAUACUCUGGGCCACUCUCCACCUGCCCUAAUCACCCCAGGACCAGUACCAGGCAACUAGGGACAGAUGCUAAGUUCCAGAGUCCAUGAAACUAUCCAAACUUGCCCAUUCUAUUUCUGCCUACCCUGGCUUGACCAUUCCUUCCUGAAAAAUCCACAAUAGAGGCUCCUGCUGGCAUUCUCCCUUUGCUCCCUGUCUCCCAAUGGACCUUCGUUCCCAGUGUGGCCCUGAAUGUGCCCCCUUUUUGGGGAACUGUGAGAAACUGUCAUUUUCAAGGCAGUUAUCUUCUGUUCCAUAGUCUUCCCUUGUAUUAGUCUGUUUUCACACUGCUGAUAAAGACACAUCCAAGAUUGGGAAGAAAAAGAGGUUUAAUUGGACUUACAGUUCCACAUGGCUGGAGAGACCUCAGAAUCGUGGUAGGAGAAAGGCAUGUCUUACAUGGUGGUGGCAAGAAAAAAAGAGGAGAAGCAAAAGUAAAAACCCCUGAUAAACCCAUCAGGUCUCAUGAGACUUAUUCACUAUCACUAGAAUAGUCAGGAAAGACCAACCCCCAUGAUUCAAUCGCCUUCCCCUGGGUCCCUCCCACAACGCAUGAGGAUUCUGGGAAAUACAAUUCAAGUUGAGAUUUGGGU